rnacentral:rRNA from 1 species
UACGUAGGGAGCAAGCGUUGUCCGGAAUCAUUGGGCGUAAAGCGCGCGUAGGCGGCCCUGUAAGUCCGCUGUGAAAGUCAAAGGCUCAACCUUUGAAUGCCGGUGGAUACUGCAGGGCUAGAGUCCGGAAGAGGCAAGUGGAAUUCCUGGUGUAGCGGUGGAAUGCGCAGAUAUCAGGAGGAACACCUAUUGCGAAGGCAGCUCGCUGGGACGUUACUGACGCUGAGACGCGAAAGCGUGGGGAGCAAACAGG